rnacentral:lncRNA from 1 species
AUGGCGGAGAGCGGGAGCGAAAAGAGCCGCCGGGACGCACGCAGGGCGCCCGCACCGCCGGACGAUCUGCGUCCCGUGCAAGUAGCUAAACCAAAAAUACAGCGCAGGAGAUUUGAAGGUUUACGGGAUCUCGGUGCUACAAGCGGGCGCUGCGGCGGAGCUCGCCCUCGGAGGGAGCAGCGGAGCCGACGGGGAGCUCUCGGGGCGACCUUUUUGCAGCCUCCCUGCCACCAGCACCGUUCAGCCCUGGCCCUGGAGCACAGCUCCCUCCGGCUGCCCCCAAGCCCAAGCCCUUGCCGAGCGCGCAGCCACCGCGGGGCGCGGAGGUCGUGGGGAACAUCCUCGGUGAGGAGCCCAGCGGCCCUUCCCCUCCUCGGAGAGGGGUCUGGCAACAUGAGGCUUCCCCCUGGGGGUUGUGUUCUGUCUUUUUGUUAAUGACACUGUGCGCUUUUUAUAUUUGUUUUCUGGAAAAAAAAAAAGAAAAAUCUCUAUAAUUGGAAAUACACUAAUUUUGAGGGGCUGAAAAGCCCCGUUCACAAGGGCUGGCUUUGCAGCUGAGCACGUUCUCGCAAGGGCGUCCGCCUAAGUCCCGAAGCAAAACCUAAAAUCCCCGAGCGACCUCGUCAUAGGGGUAUGGCGGGCCCCCCUGCCCUGUGUAGGGCUCCCCCCAGCACCGUGCGGGCACAGACAGUGCGUGGCUGCACCCAGGGGCUCCUCUGCAAGCGGCGCUCCGGGCUGCGCGGGCUUGUGCGGGGCUGCGCGGGGUUGGCUCGCCCGAGAGGGCGCGCAGGGGGUCGGCGGGUCAAGCAGGUGUUCCCGGCUCCCAGGAGCUACUGUGUCGGUGUGACUGCGCGGGCUUCAUCGGCCGUGUUAUUUAUUUAUUUAUUUAUUUAUUUAUUUAUUUUUCCGUGCAUUUUGGGAUGAUUUAACUGAUCUCCGUGCUCCACAGAGAGCGGUCCAUCGCCUUACGCUUUGCCCCGCGCGUUGCCUUCAGCAGCGCACCUCUCGCAGCCUGAAUUCCUCUGCGCUGCUCUCCAGGCUGGUUCCCUCUCGUAUCCCAUUUUCCACGGGGAAUUUAUACACACAGCCGCACACGCUUCUUUCCAGGCGGCCAAUGAACAGGGUUUCGAAGCCGGUAGCCUCCUUUGUUUAACGAAGCGGCAUCAUUAGCUCCCCAUUAGCUGGCAGCGUCACAGCUCACGUCAUCAGUCCAAAUCACUGCGUUCUCACUCUCGCCGCGCUGCUCCCCUAAGUAAGCUGCCGGCUUUCUUAGCCCGCCAGCGAGAGAACCUAAGCCGCACCGGAGUGUUUAAUCCGGUGUAGAUAUUUAAUGUCAUACCGAUGGCUGGUUGCGGAGAGACCUGCCGGAUGAGCAAAGCGGGGUUUGGAUCCAAAGCCGCCCUUAGGUGGCGGUUCGCAAGCAGCUCGGGUGGCUCUUAGGCUGAGAUUCACCUUUAUCGUUUUAUAGUAAAUAAUAGGAAGAAUUUUAAGAGCAGACCCCAUUCUUCCGCGCGUACGUUGUUUUCUAUUGCAUUAUGCUUCGAACAAAGGAAGAACAGAAAAGGCAGUUUCUGUGUUAGGGUGUUAGAAUGGUUUCAAGUUAUCAUUUGCGGCAAGGACCAUGUUCAGGGAAGGGGGUUUUGCUUGCCAGACACUCAGAAGCGCGCAAAGAAAAUCAAACCCAGCAACAAUCAAAGUAACAACAAAAUACCCUAACCAAACAAGCCCAAAACCCCAACAAACCAAACCAAACCAAAAACAAAGCAAAAAGGCAACAGCAACAAUAAACAGAAGAUACCAAUAAACCUUAAAAAAAUA